rnacentral:rRNA from 1 species
GAUGAACGCUGGCGGCGUGCCUAACACAUGCAAGUCGAACGAACAGACGAGGAGCUUGCUCCUCUGACGUUAGCGGCGGACGGGUGAGUAACACGUGGAUAACCUACCUAUAAGACUGGGAUAACUUCGGGAAACAGGAGCUAAUACCGGAUAAUAUAUUGAACCGCAUGGUUCAAUAGUGAAAGACGGUUUUGCUGUCACUUAUAGAUGGAUCCGCGCCGCAUUAGCUAGUUGGUAAGGUAACGGCUUACCAAGGCAACGAUGCGUAGCCGACCUGAGAGGGUGAUCGGCCACACUGGAACUGAGACACGGUCCAGACUCCUACGGGAGGCAGCAGUAGGGAAUCUUCCGCAAUGGGCGAAAGCCUGACGGAGCAACGCCGCGUGAGUGAUGAAGGUCUUCGGAUCGUAAAACUCUGUUAUUAGGGAAGAACAAAUGUGUAAGUAACUAUGCACGUCUUGACGGUACCUAAACAAAAAGCCACGGCUAACUACGUG